GUGGUUAUGUAAUAAUUCUCUGUUUUCAGGACAGGAAGUAGAGGUGAGAUCUUACUGAAACUCCCCACACACCAAGCACCAUGCACCAAGCUCUAUACAAUGUUUUGCUAUAAUAAUAAUUUAUAAAAUAAAAAUAAAAAUAAAAAUAAUAAAAAUAAUUUCCUUAUUCUAGCACAAACAGGACAGCGUCUAUGAAUAACAUCAUGCAAGAGAGGAGAAGAGAAGUAGAGUAAUAAAAACAGUACCAUUAAUGGUGUAGGACCUCAUCUUUUGUUUAUGUUCUCUUCCUUAAAGACGCUGGAUCUACAGAGAGCCUUUAAUGUAUUUUAACUUGUAGACCUCUACAGUCUCCACUGCAGCCUCCAACUCCUCAAGCCUAAUGAACUUUUGGCCGUUAUGUGAAAAUUCUCUAUUAUUAGGACAGGAAGUAGAGUCACUCAAAAGUUUUGGAACAAUGAGCCUUCAAGCUGUUUUUCACAAAAGGUGUAGCUCCCUACAGUCCACCACAGCCCCCAGCUCUGAAAACCUCCAUGUGUGGUUUGUGAAGAAACAAACCCCCAACAAACUCUGUUCUCAUCACAGGAAGUUGAGGAUGUGGUCAGGAUCAGGGAAGCUCCAGAGUAACACAAGGCACGACACAGAAGAGUUCACCCCUGAUGGGACACCGGUCCAUCGCAGGACACUGUUCACACACAGUUACACCUAGGGCCAAUUUAUCUUAACCAAUGCACCUAUCCACAUGUUUCUGGACAGUGGGAGGAAACUGGAAAACCCAGAGGAAACCAAUGCAAAGAAGGGAGUACGUGUGAAACUGAUGACAACGUGGGCCAUGUUCAGCCUGGGGAUGGGAGACACUGACCGAACAUUAUAUACAUGAUGGAAUCUGUUGAUGAGAAUGGGCCUGGAUGGUCUAAUGAUGGUAAAGAUUGAUUAGGCGUGUCCUUCUGUGGCUCAGUAGGACCAGCUUGAAGAACCAUGCAAGUGCUGAAAGGUUUUUCCCAAUCAAUAAUAUCAUUUCUGGUGUUAAUUAAAGUAGUGCUGCACUCGUUAAACGCAUUAAUUAGAGGAAAAAUCCAUUUGGAAAUCAGGUUUGGACGUUUAGAUUGAGUAUUAUAUACAGUGUCUUGGAUAUAUUCAUUGAAGAGUUGAUCUUUUGUAAUGUUAUAACUUAAUUGGGGAUUUUAUCUUUUCAUGUACACAAUAUGUGUAACGUUUCAAGGUGCAAAGUAUUUUUUAUUUUUAUUUUAUUGUGACACAAAUGUUAAUUGCACAGUGGGGCAGACUUUUGUAGAUUACAUAAGUAUUCAACCCUGAAAUGCUUAGUUGAACCUCCUCUGGCUUAAACACAUAAAUGUGCAAAAUCAAAAAAUAGGAUUUGAAAAAUCUGAUUACGCAAUGAAGCCAUC